GGUCGGAUUUUUAAAAACCCGAACCCGAACCCGAAAACCAAAUUAAAACCUGUAUCCGGACCCAAACCCGACGGGUUUUAAAAAUCCAUACCCAUAUCCGUACCCGACAAAAAACCCGAAAUCCGAACCUGAAUCCGAACUCGGCAGGUUUUAAAAAUUUAUGCUGUUGAAUGAAAAUCUAAAGGAUAAAAAUUAUUAAAUAUUUUAUAUAUUAUAUAAAUAAAUAAAAAUAAAUUAUGUAUAUAUAUAAUUUAUUCGGGUUCGGGUUCGGGUCGGGUAAAUACAAAAUCCAUACUCGUAUCCAUAUCCGUCGGAUUUUUAUUUUCCAUACCCAUAACCGAAUCUAUUCCCGUUUAGUUCGGAUAAACCCGCUCGUUCGGGUUCGGGUUCGGAUAAUAUUUCGAAUAUUCAUACCCAUUGACAUUCCUAAUACACAGAGUAAUUUCACCAGAAAAUGUACAC
rnacentral:lncRNA from 1 species